GUACCACUCAGACAGAGGAAUGAGACUCUUCUAUGCUCGCCCCAGACAGUUCUUAUCUGGUGUUCCUCUUUCAAAGUUGUCAUGCUCUAAAGUUGUGUUGUCACUGAUUUGCUGGAGUGCAGCAGCAUGAUUACAGCUCACAUCAGCCUCGACCUCCCGGGCUCAAGCUAUCCUCCUACCUCAGCCUCCCAAGUAGCUGGGACUAUAGGAUCUUUCUGCUGAUGCAGCUGUUAAGAGUGUUUCAUAAACUGUGACACUGAGCAAAAUCAUAGAAGGAAACUCUAUGGACAAUUUCAGAUGGAGAAGAAGAAAGGAUUGGAAGUUCAAUUUGGCCAUGACAAUUAGACUUGAAGAAGCUGAGUGAGAAGGCCAUGCGGAUAUCUUGGAGAAGUGCAUUCCAGGAAGAGGAAAAGCCAGUGCAGAGACACUGAAGCAGGGCAUGACUGAUGUGUGUAAGGAGCUCAUAUAUAUGAUCAUCUACAGUCCACUGAGGAGAAUAGCAGACGAGAGGCCAGGUGCAGUGCAUGUAAUCCCAGCACUUUGGGAGACUGAGAUGGGAAGAUCGCUUGAGGCCAGGAGUGCAAGACCAGCCUGGGCAACAUAGCAAGAACUUGACUCUACUAAAAAAAAAAAGGAUCCUUCAACUUCAACAAUAACAACACGAGGGAAGUGAAGAAAAACACUUUCUAAGGAAAUCUCUCUCUGAGCUACCAUCCGGCUAGGGAGAGCCUGAAAGCAGAAUGCUGACUUGACUAGCUCUGGCCAAUAAAGGAAAUCACCAGUGGAAAGGCUACCAGGGGGCUUCCUCAAAAGAGAGGGACGGUAAACUGCAAGACGAACAACUCGAUGCCAUCCAGGUCUGGAUGAGAAAGAAGAGUCG
rnacentral:antisense_RNA from 1 species